ACCUGGAUCCUGCAGCCGGCGGUGUGAGGAGCGAAUCAAGACGCCGCCAGGUCAUGCCCGACCUCGCGGGUGCAGGCCGACAGCAGCCGAUGACCCUCUCCCGUCUGCUGCACCUCCCUCUCCUAUUUCCUCCCACUUUCUCCAUCGGCGGUGGCGGCGGCGGCGGCAAGAGGAAAGAGGGUCCCAGGGGGAGACGCGGGCUAGGUCUCGCUCUCGCUGCCCACUCGCUUCGCUCCUUCUUAUCUCGCUGCUCGCCGGUUUUUUCCUUCGCGUGGCGCACUCGCUGUACUGAUGAUGUGUGCAGAUCGGAUGAAGAAUACAAGAGGAAGGACCUUGAGGAAGACUGAAGAACAAUGUAUGGAUCUUCAAUUAUAAUGAUGAUCAUAGCAGGGAGAUAUACCAUACUAAGAGCAUGCAAAGGUUUGUUUCUAUUAUAUUCUUUUCACUCUACCUUGCUUAUUUUGUCUACCUCAUCUUAAACCCAAAAUUCAAAAUGGUUCCCAACUUAUAUACCAUAGAGUAGGGAUGCAGGCGGACGGUGUCCAUAUGUCCGCAAAGCAAUAACUGCACUAAUUUGCAUUACAUUAAUAACCGUGUUAGUGUUUAUGUUUCUUCAGUCUGCAC